AUUGAACGCUGGCGGCAUGCCUUACACAUGCAAGUCGAACGGUAACGGGCCUUCGGGUGCCGACGAGUGGCGAACGGGUGAGUAAUGCAUCGGAACGUACCUUUCAGUGGGGGAUAACGUAGCGAAAGUUACGCUAAUACCGCAUAUUCUGUGCGCAGGAAAGCAGGGGAUCGCAAGACCUUGCGCUGAUUGAGCGGCCGAUGUCAGAUUAGCUAGUUGGUGAGGUAAAGGCUCACCAAGGCGACGAUCUGUAGCGGGUCUGUGAGGAUGAUCCGCCACACUGGAACUGAGACACGGUCCAGACUCCUACGGGAGGCAGCAGUGGGGAAUUUUGGACAAUGGGGGCAACCCUGAUCCAGCCGUGCCGCGUGAGUGAAGAAGGCCUUCGGGUUGUAAAGCUCUUUCGGCCGGGAAGAAAUCGCAUGGGUUAAUACCCUGUGCGGAUGACGGUACCGGCAUAAGAAGCACCGGCUAACUACGUGCCAGCCGCCGCCGUAAAAC
rnacentral:rRNA from 1 species